GGUGAGUAAUGCGUAGGAAUCUGUCUUUUAGUGGGUUCCCACCCAGGGAAACAUAUGGGCUAAUACCGCAUGAGCCCUGAGGGGGAAAGCGGGGGAUCUUCGGACCUCGCGCUAAGAGAGGAGCCUACGUCCGAUUAGCUAGUUGGCGGGGUAAAGGCCCACCAAGGCGACGAUCGGAGUGGUCUGAGAGGACGACCAGCCACACUGGGACUGAGACACGGCCCAUACUCCUACGGGAGGCAGCAGUGGGGAAUUUUUCUUAAAUGGGGGCCAACCCUGGCCGCCGCCAAUGACACCGGGGAAUGAAGAA
rnacentral:rRNA from 1 species